rnacentral:ncRNA from 1 species
UAGAUAGAGGUUGCGAUAUCUAAGAGUAUGUUUGUGGAGUUAAGCACGUUGAAACAAACAAAAAGGAGAAGUCGCCGAAGCGUAUAGUUAAUGCUUUAAUACUAUAACGUUGGGGUUAUGUAGAAUAUAUAUAACACUGUCACAAAUUUAAUUUGUGGGGAGCUAUCA